AGAAGACAGAAGGAAGAGAUAAAGCGAAAACUGUCGGAGCCAGAGAAGGCCUCUUUGGAGAAAAACCUGGAACCAUGAAGGCUGAUGACCUCAGCAGAAGAGACUCCAUUCCACAGCUGAUACAUGACAACUGCUUAAAUCAACAGCUGAAUGGAGAUGGGAAAUGUCCAAUAGUCAACCACAUGCUAAUGAAAAAUAAUCUGUGGGUUAUAUUAGGAUGCUGAUUAUUUGAAAAUUGUGCCUAGGCUCCUCCUGUGGGCAACGCUUCCAAAUGGUUUAGAAUGUUUGUUUCAUUUUGUAACUACAUAAAGGCAAGUUGCUGUA